rnacentral:lncRNA from 1 species
UUUGCUUUUAAUCUCUGGUAGUCUUUUAUGUGAGAGCACUUAUAAUUUUUAAAGGACUUAAAAAUAGUAAAUCCAGUAUUUCUAAGUAAAUUGUACCAUAAAGUGGAACAGCUAGGUUUAAGUUUAAAACAGAGAUCCAAAUGUUGCACAUUCUAAAUAAAUACUAUUUUAUUAAGUAAGUUUGUAAGAAAGACUCAAAAUUCCAGUUUCCUCGUUGUGAUUUUAUACUAUGGCUAUACAAGGUGUCACAACUGAUGAAAAAUGGCCGCAGAGUUUAUGGAAUUUCUGUAUAUUAAUUUCCCCAUCUGUGUGUGAAUCUUCAGUUACUUAAAAAUAAAGCAUUAAAAAAGUAAAUAAAAAUAAAAUUUGCUAAACCACAAGAGUUUCUUUCUUUCUCAUGUAAGAGAAAAGCUAGGUCCUGAUGAAGGUAGCUUAGGUUUACAUAUCUAUCUAGAAUGUAAGCUUUAUUUCAGCUUUCUUCUACAUAAUUUCUAUACUAUAUGCCAUGGUCUCAAGCGAGGCAAGGAGAAUAGGGUUUGGAGGCAGGGAACCUAAGGCUGAUUCUGCCUGACUCGAUAUCAGAGGCUACUCCCUUUUCAACCCCUCCUUUAUUCUGCAUGGCAGUUGCUGCUGGCAGUUGUAACCCCUCCUUUUGCUGCCUCGCAGUUGUUGCAUGGCAGUUGGAAAAUGAAAGUACCUCUGAUUGGUC